rnacentral:rRNA from 1 species
UACAGGGGGUGCAAACGUUGCUCGGAAUCAUUGGGCGUAAAGCGCACGUAGGCGGUUCGUUAUGUCGGAUGUGAAAGCCCUUGGCUUAACCGAGGAAGUGCAUCCGAAACUGGCGAGCUAGAGUACGAAAGAGGAUCGCGGAAUUCCCGGUGUAGAGGUGAAAUUCGUAGAUAUCGGGAGGAACACCGGUGGCGAAGGCGGCGAUCUGGGUUGAUACUGACGCUGAGGUGCGAAAGCGUGGGGAGCAAACAGG